UACGGGGGGGCAAGCGUUGUUCGGAAUUACUGGGCGUAAAGGGCGCGUAGGCGGCCUGCUAAGUCGGAUGUGAAAUCCCUCGGCUCAACCGAGGAACUGCAUCCGAUACUGGCGGGCUUGAAUCCGGGAGAGGGAUGUGGAAUUCCAGGUGUAGCGGUGAAAUGCGUAGAUAUCAGGAAGAACACCCGUGGCGAAGGCAGCCCCCUGGGCCAACACUGACGCUCAGGCACGAAAGCGUGGGGAGCAAACAGGG
rnacentral:rRNA from 1 species